rnacentral:rRNA from 1 species
UACGUAGGAUGCAAGCGUUGUCCGGAAUUAUUGGGCGUAAAGGGUGCGCAGGUGGUCGGGUGUGUCAGAUGUGAAAUCCCGGAGCUUAACUCCGGAACUGCGUCUGAAACUGCACGACUAGAGCAUUGGAGAGGGUAGUGGAAUUCACGGUGUAGCAGUGAAAUGCGUAGAUAUCGUGAGGAACACCAGAGGCGAAGGCGACUACCUGGACAAUUGCUGACACUCAGGCACGAAAGCAUGGGGAGCAAAAGGG